GCCUUGUUGGCUAAGUGGUAUAGCGUCUCACUAGUAUUCCUAGUGUCAUGAGAAGAUCGGCGGUUCGAUUCCGCCACGAGGCA
rnacentral:tRNA from 1 species